GCCGUGAUCAUUAUAGUGGUUAGUACUCUGCGUUGUGGCGCGCAGCAACCCGGUUCGAAUCCGGGUCCGCGGCA
rnacentral:tRNA from 1 species